rnacentral:rRNA from 1 species
UACGUAGGUGGCAAGCGUUGUCCGGAAUUAUUGGGCGUAAAGCGCGCGUAGGCGGCUACUUAAGUCGGAUGUGAAAGCCCUUGGCUCAACUGAGGAAGUGCACCCGAAACUGAGUGGCUUGAGUACGAAAGAGGGUCGCGGAAUUCCCGGUGUAGAGGUGAAAUUCGUAGAUAUCGGGAGGAACACCGGUGGCGAAGGCGGCGACCUGGGUCGAUACUGACGCUGAUGCGCGAAAGCGUGGGGAGCAAACAGG